GAGGACUUUUAUCUGGAGAUUCAAGUGCGCAUGCCCGGAAGAGGAUCUUCAGCGUGAUCAGAUUAAAUGUAAACUGCGUUUCUUCAGCAUUAAAUGUGCUUAUUAAGUUAAUCGAUCGAUCUGAUCGAUCUUCACAGCAUUGUUUGACUCCAAGACUCGAUUGGUACCGAUUCAGAUGAUUCACUAACUGAUUCAGGAUUCACUCGACGCGCGGACAGGAUGGUGUGUGAGCUGCUGCUGUCCUCGGUGUGGUUUCUCUUCGUCAUCUUCUGGCUGGAGACCAUCAGCGUGUGGCUCUUUCUGUGUCUGUACUAUCAGGACCGGGUCUUCUAUCACUGGGGCUCAGGGGGGUUUGCAGAUGAUCCGGAUCAGUUCCUCUACGUGCUGAGCAGGAUUGAUCUGUCAACACACAUGCAAACGUGAGGAGGUGAUGUCGUCAGUUGGGAGAGGUGUAGCCUGAGGAUGAGGGCGGGGCUGCCGUGAGGGGCGGAGCUCCGCUAGUCUGCGAUGAGGAGUUUCAGGAGGCCGAUGGGAAGGGCGUGAUGUUAUCCUGUAGUCCUGAACUCAGACUGGUGACCUGUGUGAACGGUUUAUCUGUCUAAUCUGUUAAACUAGUUGGAGAUUCGGCUGUUACUUUCACUCUAUAAAACACUAACAGAUCCUUGUCGAAUUAUUGCUUUUCUAUUUUUGUACAGAUGUGUGUUUUUGCAUCAUGAUGUUGUGUAAUAAAAGCCAUUUUACAGACUUUUCA
rnacentral:lncRNA from 1 species